CUAUGCGCCUUGCCAGCCCGCUCAGUCAGAGUUUGAUCCUGGCUCAGGAUGAACGCUAGCGAUAGGCUUAACACAUGCAAGUCGAGGGCAGCAUGGUCUUAGCUUGCUAAGACUGAUGGCGACCGGCGCACGGGUGCGUAACGCGUAUGCAACUUGCCUCACAGAGGGGAUAACCCGUCGAAAGACGGACUAAUACCGCGUACACUUACAGGAGGGCAUCCUCCAGUAAGGAAAUGAAAUUCGCUGUGAGAUAGGCAUGCGUCCCAUUAGCUAGUUGGUGAGUAACGGCUCACCAAGGCGACGAUGGGUAGGGAACUGAGAGGUUGAACCCCACACUGGUACUGAGACACGGACCAG
rnacentral:rRNA from 1 species